AUUUUCACUCUAAAACUUGGAGACCUCAUCUUUUAUCUAACCUCUCUUUUUUCCAGUACAGCGUCAUUACCAUGGAGUUUCAUCUAACAAUGCUUGUUCCAUCUGUUUCCAUUUUGUCAUGAAAAUCAAAGGAGGUAGUGGAUGUGAAAUUUUACUGAUUACAUAUAUAGGAUCCAAAUAACAUGCAGUGACAAACCUCCUGCAUAUGGCUGAAUGCUAAGCCACCAGCUACUCCUGCCCUCACAUCUCACAACUUUGCUGCAAGAAAAAACAAAACAGAACAUCUUGGCUAAAACUGCCCACCUCCUUACCCCAAGCUUGAUGCCAGCUGAAGAGUCCCAGGAGACCAGUUGGCUUAGCCCGGGUCAGAGGCCCUGGAUGGGAGUGGAUGAUUGGUAGCCAUCAUUUGCACCUGAUGGUUAGAGUGUGAGAGAAGCAGUCUUCCUGAAGAAGAGAGGUGGUGUCCUCAGAAAAGAGGAAGGGUACAAGGUUGUGAAAGCAAUAAAUGCUCACGCAAAAGAGGGUUGACCCAAGGUCUGGCCUUCUUCUUGCCACUCUCUAGUGAGGGAGCCCUUAGGAAAUUGAUUAUGCUCUCUGUCAAGCGGCAAAAAUAAAACCUGCCCCUGCCUUACGUGGUGAUGUGAGGAACAGAUUACAGAAUAGAUUUAAAGUGGCCUUUCAAAGUUUAAAGUGCGAUACCAAUGAAAGGUAAACUAAGUUAUUCUGGUUCUCUCCCUGCAUUUGGUCAGUUCCUGUAACGCAAACCAUUCUAGGUAGGUUAUAAUCUCAUGAAAGUUCGGAAGCAAGGAUUAAGGCCACUCUCUAGCUCUGUUUGGUUGAGAAACAGCACUAUUUCAGAGAUUUUUUAAAUAGAUAAAAUUGUAUUCAUCACCUGUUAAAUCAUGCAUGAGAUUUACUUGGGGUGAUCCCUGAAAUUUUUUCAAUUAGAAAAAUGUAAAUUACAAAAUACAUUAUUUAUAAUGCACACACGGUUGACUAUGUUUUAGAAUAUUACCUAAAGAAACCACAGAAGAAUAACAACACAAAUACAGAUUCUUUGAUACUAUACUAGUAUACAUGUUCUGCUUCUUCCUUUCAGGUCUAUUUGCAGAGUCUUCCAUUCUUGAGCAAUUUUCUCUGGGGUGACUCUCCGCUACUAUGAAACCUGUGUCUGUUUGACAAUACCUGUGCCCAUUGUGCAGAGUUCUUUGUGGCCCUAUCAUGGGGGACUUCCAUUCUGUACUUGGUUACUUCAGUGUGUCAGCUAGAUCCAGCUGCUCUGCGCUGGUUCAUGUGGGUACCACCUACAUGCAAUGCGUCUCCAUUUAUCUUACUGUCCAUCCAGGUCCAUUGUACCCUUCAAGACUGGUUGAAGCCCACUGCUGUAGGACAUCAGUUCCUCUGGCCCUGUUCCUUUGUGAAGCCUUUUUGUGUUUUGUGUGACUGUGUGAUCUGACUGCAUUCACAGGCACUUCUCACACAUAGCUUUGUGCAUCUUCUCAAAUUGCUACAUGUGUAUGUUUGUCCCUCCAAAGGAUUAAAACCUGAGUGAGUGCCAGCUUUCUCUGCAGGAGGAGUGGGUAGUGACCUUUGGUGCUUCCAGAAGAAAAGCAUGCAGGACAUCAUGGUAAAAGUGGGAUGCGCAGCAGAGACACCCUUGCAACUUCAUCCCGCUGCUCACUUCCCACCUGGGUCCCUGACCUCACUGGAAAUUGGGGUCCAGGGACUGGAAUCCAUUUGCUCUGGCCUUUGUCUCUCUGGGCUGGGUGUGGGGCCGUGAAAGGAUGAGCGCCUCCUGCCCAUGGUUGCAAUGGGAGAUCCAGAGGAUACAUGCUGAAAAUAAUAUCCUGGGGUGAGGGCCAAGGUCAUGGCCAGUGAGUGAGUCCAAACCAUCUCAUAAAUUAAUGCAACUCUUGGAAAACUGGGAGCUGAGUUAAUGGAGCCGAAAUGAGUGGUGUGGAGCCACAGGGAGAGCCACGAGUGUCCAGAGGGAGCCAGUGCCACCGGCCACGCGGCCCAAGACCUUCCAGGGCCUUCCCUUCAUGGUCUUGCAGGCAGCUGGGCCUGCUGGGGCCGGAAGGGAGCUGGGCCCCUCAGACACAGCCGAGGAAAACUUGACUGCUGGUGUGCCAGAUCCGUCCACAGGUCCCCAGGGAUUCCCCAAGUGAAUUCUGUCCUCUAAAGCUCGUCACAAACAGGUAGGAAAUUCUACUCUUUAAUUAUCCUAAUCCCAAACAAGUCAUGAUACUCACAUAGCCAAUUUCAGGUUUAAUCGUGUUACCUUUAUCCAAGUAGAAAUCAAUUCCCAUUUUUGUAUAGCUCUGCAGAACAUCCAGAGUGCUUCAGCGCAGAGCAAGGCCCCAGCAGUUAUGAGUGCUAUCAUCAUAUGGGAAAAAGAAGUUCAUCACUCUGUGUGUGUGUGGAGCGGGAAGGGAUGGGAGGCAAGUUUAUGACAGU
rnacentral:lncRNA from 1 species